rnacentral:pre_miRNA from 1 species
AGUGGAAUUGCUGGAUAAUAUGGUAAUUCUGUGUUUAAUUUUUUGAGGAACCAUCAAAUUGUUUUCCACAGUGACUGCACCACUUUACAUUCCCACCAGCAGU